rnacentral:rRNA from 1 species
ACGAACGCUGGCGGCGUGCCUAAUACAUGCAAGUCGAGCGGAAUGAUGAAGAAGCUUGCUUCUUCUGAUUUUAGCGGCGGACGGGUGAGUAACACGUGAGCAACCUACCUUGUAGAUUGGGAUAACUCCGGGAAACCGGGGCUAAUACCGAAUAAUCCAUUUUGCUUCAUGGCGAGAUGUUGAAAGACGGUUUCGGCUGUCACUACAAGAUGGGCCCGCGGCGCAUUAGCUAGUUGGUAGGGUAAUGGCCUACCAAGGCGACGAUGCGUAGCCGACCUGAGAGGGUGAUCGGCCACACUGGGACUGAGACACGGCCCAGACUCCUACGGGAGGCAGCAGUAGGGAAUCUUCCACAAUGGACGAAAGUCUGAUGGAGCAACGCCGCGUGAGUGAAGAAGGUUUUCGGAUCGUAAAACUCUGUUGUAAGGGAAGAACACGUACGAGAGUAACUGCUCGUACCUUGACGGUACCUUAUUAGAAAGCAACGGCUAACUACGUG